AGGGGAAUAUUGCACAAUGGAGGGAACUCUGAUGCAGCGACGCCGCGUGAACGAAGAAGGCUUUCGAGUCGUAAAGUUCUUCUAUAUGGGAAGAUAAUGACGGUACCAUAAGAAAAAGCCCCGGCUAACUACGUGCCAGCAGCCGCGGUAAUACGUAGGGGGCUAGCGUUGUCCGGAAUCACUGGGCGUAAAGGGUUCGCAGGCGGAAAUGCAAGUCAGGUGUAAAAGGCAGUAGCUUAACUACUGUAAGCAUUUGAAACUGCAUAUCUUGCGACGAGUAGAGGUAAGUGGAAUUUUUAGUGUGGCGGUGAAAUGCCUAGAGAUUAACAAGAAUACCGGUGGCAAAGGCGACCUGCUGAGCUCAUUCUGACGCUGAGGAACGAAAGCGUGGGUAGCAAACAGC
rnacentral:rRNA from 1 species